AUUACAAUGAUUAAAAAUAUAUACAUGUUUUCAUUUAUUGUGUAAUAAUUUAAGAGUAAUUGCAAGAAAAAAUUAGCAUUCAGCACACAUGUAAAGUGGCCCCCAAGAUUUGGACAAAUUCUUGACACUUCAAAUAUAUGAAUAGAUUUAUAUUAUAUAACAAAUCAUUAAACCAAGUGGCAGAAAUAUGGUAUAUACUUUUCUGAAGCUAAACAUUUCACAAACAGUUUGUUACGUCUCUGACUAUAAAAACAUAUGUUUCAAAUAAAUGCCUGGAAUUGUUUGUUUGCAGAUGCCACCUGGAUUGAUUAUGUUGUUAAAUAAAUCAGUAAAAUUCACAUAUGUUCUCCAUCACUUCAUACAGACACGUACAGUAUUUAUUGUUAUUCAUUUCUGCUGUUCUGUUAUGCAACACUAAUUGGUUUAUCUUGUUUUGCAGUCAUUCCUAACUUGUUCUGCCGUUCUUUCUUUCUUCUCACAGGGCACAACAGAUCCUCAGUGUGUUGUCUGGGACUACGGAAACCCAGAGGCUGGCGAAGAAAACUGGGACGCAGAGGGCUGCCAAACGCUCCCAUCGCCGGCAGUCUCCCACACCAAAUGUCUGUGCAGCAAGCUGUCCACCUUUGCAGUGUUAGCGCAGAAAGCUAAAGAACCGGUGAGUGCUAUCUUUACCUUUCCACACCACACUUUACCUCUCAGUGUCUGCUCGGGACAGGGCCUAGCCGACCUAGACCUUGGCAAAAUUUGUCUUAUGCCUAACAUAUGCUGCCAUACCUUGAGAAUAUGGUUGACAAACAUUGUUUGAAGUGUUUGGUUGCUUUCUAGAAGGUCAGUAUCCCAUCUUUUCCGAAUAUGCUAGAUGCUACAUCUAAAGAAAGAUCAAAAACUAUGUGUUCAUGGGUAAUUAUUUUGUUGUAAACAUUUCUUAAGGGGCAUACCAUUAUGACCAUCUGCACUUUGUUUUUGCAGCAUUGAGUAAUGUCCCACAUGCAUAUUUGUUGAUUCCUUGAACGCAAUGUUAAUCAGAAUGCAAACACUGCUCAAAACACCGGAGUUUUGUUCAGUGCCGAGUUAUGCAAGAUCACAAAUCCUCUGAUUAAAACAAUGUGUAAACACAACAUAAAUAAGAGAUUCAUUGUGCAGUGUAGAGAGCUUCGUUGA
rnacentral:lncRNA from 1 species